GAUGAACGCUGGCGGCAGGCCUAAUACAUGCAAGCCGAGCGCUCUUAGGUGUAGCAUUACUUCAAACAACCGGCGGCCGGGGGGGGAACGCGAAUGCAACCUCCCCUAUACAGGAGGAUAGCCCCCGGAAACGAGGAUUAAUACUCCAUAAGAUUGCUUAGAGGCAUCUUUAUGCAAUUAAAGCCGCAAGCCGGUAUAGGAUGGGCGUGCGUCCGAUUAGCUAGUUGGUGAGGGAUCGGCUAACCAAGGCGAUGAUCGUUAAGGGUUCUGAGAGGAAGAUCCCCCACACGGGCACUACGACCCGGGCUCCACUCCUACGGGACGCAGGAGUAAGGACUAUUAGGCAAGGGGGGAAAGCCUGAUCCAGCCGCGCCGGGUGCAGGAAGAAGGCCCUAUGAGUAGUAAACUGCUUUUGAGAGGGAGAAAUAAGAGCGAUGCGUCGCUCGAUGAUAGUACUCCUCGAAUAAGCAUCGGCUAACUUCGUG
rnacentral:rRNA from 1 species